UUUACAAAUAUGAAUAUUGCUCCCAGCAGAUUACUUCACUUUAUAUUCUUGAGGUCCUCUCACCUUGACAAUCUGCCAGCUUCCCCAGCUACAGCUCUCUGUUUCCCCUUCUGGAACACCUCAGCCUUUGUGCAAGCUGCAUUUUUCUAGAUGUAAGAUAUUGACACAAGAGACCCUUCAUGGAUUAGAACUUUUCAGCUGGAUUAAAAGUCAUGGCAACACCGGGAAACAUAGACUUAUGAGAUUAUGACAUUUAUAUUUUACUGAAAUCAAAAAAGGGAAAAAUGAAGGUAGAAGUGUAGUAAGGACAUAAAACUGUCAAAGAAAAGAAUAAUAAAAUGGAGGUUAAACUGAAAAAAAAAAAAAA